rfam:Ictidomys tridecemlineatus contig097920, whole genome shotgun sequence.
GAGGUGGUGGCUCAGUGGUAGAGCACUUGCCUAGUACACAUGAGGCACUGGGUUCGAUCCUCGUCACCAUG